AGUGAACGCUGGCGGUAGGCCUAACACAUGCAAGUCGAACGGCAGCACAGGAGAGCUUGCUCUCUGGGUGGCGAGUGGCGGACGGGUGAGGAAUACAUCGGAAUCUACUCUGUCGUGGGGGAUAACGUAGGGAAACUUACGCUAAUACCGCAUACGACCUACGGGUGAAAGCAGGGGAUCUUCGGACCUUGCGCGAUUGAAUGAGCCGAUGUCGGAUUAGCUAGUUGGCGGGGUAAAGGCCCACCAAGGCGACGAUCCGUAGCUGGUCUGAGAGGAUGAUCAGCCACACUGGAACUGAGACACGGUCCAGACUCCUACGGGAGGCAGCAGUGGGGAAUAUUGGACAAUGGGCGCAAGCCUGAUCCAGCCAUACCACGUGGGUGAAGAAGGCCUUCGGGUUGUAAAGCCCUUUUGUUGGGAAAGAAAUCCAGCUGACUAAUACCCGGUUGGGAUGACGGUACCCAAAGAAUAAGCACCGGCUAACUUCGUGCCAGCCGCCGCCGUAA
rnacentral:rRNA from 1 species